GACGAACGCUGGCGGCGUGCCUAAUACAUGCAAGUCGAACGAGUGGCGGACGGGUGAGUAAUGUCUGGGAAACUGCCUGAUGGAGGGGGAUAACUACUGGAAACGGUAGCUAAUACCGCAUACCAUCAGAUGUGCCCAGAUGGGAUUAGCUUGUUGGUGGGGUAACGGCUCACCAAGUCGACGAUCCCUAGCUGGUCUGAGUGGAUGACCAGCCACACUGAAACUGAGACACGGUCCGGACUCCUACGGGAGGCAGCAGUGGGGAAUAUUGCACAAUGGGCGCAAGCCUGAUGCAGCCAUGCCACGUGUAUGAAGAAGGCCUUCGGGUUGUAAAGUACGUUCAGCGAGGAGGCGUUACCCGCAGAAGAAGCACCGGCUCACUCCGUGCCAGCAGCCGCGGUAAUUC
rnacentral:rRNA from 1 species